GGCGUUUUGGCCCCACGAUGGGCUAAAAUGACUCCUCGAGGGAGUCGCGCGACUCUUCCUGAAGAGUACAUUGGCUCCUUGAGGGGUAGUUGCUCGUUCAUAGAAGACCGCGCAUUUUUGUUUAUGAGCCCUCCCUCUUCUACGCCAGCAGCAUACUUUGUAAGAGCACUUGCAAAUCGACAAUGAUAUAUUUAUAUUGCUAUAUUUUUACUAUUUAUACUGCUGUUUGCAAAGUCGAAUAAAAUCCACUAGAGUUUGUCAGGUAGGAUACAGACCGUCCUCUGGUAGUAGUCAGAGUAGAAUAUAUAAAAAAUCGUUGGACAUUGGCCAGCCAGAAUAUACAAUAGAAUACAAUUCGCCAUAAUUUGUGGCGACGAAUAUGGCUUUUAAACCCUUCGUAAUUCUUAUACGAAGCUCCGCAUCCACGAACUUUGCAAGCUACAAAAAAAUUUGGAUCGUGGCGAUGGCAUCGACCGUAAUGAUUGAAUAUUGUGGCAAUUUCACGUGCUACAAAUGGCACACGAUUGCCUCUGCACAUUUCACAUUCUCGUCAAAUUAA